rnacentral:rRNA from 1 species
AAAUCAGGCAGGACUACCCGCUGAACUUAAGCAUAUCAAUAAGCGGAGGAAAAGAAACUAACAAGGAUUCCCCUAGUAACUGCGAGUGAACCGGGAAAAGCUCAAAUUUUGAAUCCGGCGGUCUCCGGCCGCCCGAGUUGUAAUCUAGAGAAGCGUCUUCCGCGCUGGACCGUGUACAAGUCUCCUGGAAGGGAGCAUCGUAGAGGGUGACAAUCCCGUCUCCGACACGGACUACCAGGGCUAUGUGAUGCGCUCUCGACGAGUCGAGUUGUUUGGGAAUGCAGCUCAAAUCGGGUGGUAAACUCCAUCUAAAGCUAAAUACAGGCGAGAGACCGAUAGCGAACAAGUACCGUGAGGGAAAGAUGAAAAGA